rnacentral:tRNA from 1 species
AGAGAAGUGGCAGAGUGGUCGAAUGCACUGGUCUUGAAAACCAGCGUGCCGCAAGGUACCGGGGGUUCGAAUCCCUCCUUCUCUG